rnacentral:rRNA from 1 species
UACGUAGGGGGCAAGCGUUGUCCGGAUUUAUUGGGCGUAAAGAGCGUGUAGGCGGCCGUACAGGUCAGCUGUGAAAACUCGAGGCUCAACCUCGAGACGUCGGUUGAAACCGUACGGCUAGAGUCCGGAAGAGGAGAGUGGAAUUCCCGGUGUAGCGGUGAAAUGCGCAGAUAUCAGGAAGAACACCUAUGGCGAAGGCAGCUCUCUGGGACGGUACUGACGCUGAGACGCGAAAGCGUGGGGAGCAAACAGG